GACGAACGCUGGCGGCGUGCUUAACACAUGCAAGUCGAACGAAGUGGCGAACGGGUGAGUAACGCGUAAUCAACCUGCCCUUCAGAGGGGGACAACAGUUGGAAACGACUGCUAAUACCGCAUACUGAAGGGGGGGAUUGCGUCUGAUUAGCUAGUUGGAGGGGUAACGGCCCACCAAGGCGAUGAUCAGUAGCCGGGCUGAGAGGGAGAACGGACAAAUUGGAACUGAGACACGGCCCAGACUCCUACGGGAGGCAGAAGUGGGGAAUCUUGCGCAAUGGACGAAAGUCUGACGGAGCAACGCCGCGUGAGUGAUGAAGGACUUCGGGUUGUAAAGCUCUGUUAAUCGGGACGCGGUACCGGAAUAGAAAGCCACGGCUAACUACGUGCCAGCAGCCGCGGUAAUAC
rnacentral:rRNA from 1 species